CUCAAAAUAAUCAAGAUGCUGGUGGAUUCAAUUUCAACUAUUAAUAGUGACAUGGAGCCUGAACAGUAUUGUAAGCUUUUUAUUGGAGGUCUUGAUUACAGAACAACAGAAGAAUCUCUCAAGGCACAUUUUGAGCAAUGGGGAGAAAUUGUGGAUUGUGUAGUGAUGAGGGAUCCAAAUACAAAGAAAUCUCGGGGUUUUGGUUUUAUUACUUACAAAAAAGCACAUAUGGUUGAUGAUGCACAGGCUGCUCGACCUCAUAAAGUUGAUGGUAGAGAAGUUGAACCAAAACGAGCAGUUCCACGGGAGGACUGUGGAAAACCAGAGGCACAGGCAACAGUGAAAAGAAUAUUUAUUGGAGGACUAAAGGAUGAUGUUGAAGAAGAAGAUCUUAGAGACCAUUUUGGACAGUAUGGAAAUAUUGUCAAUGUCAAUAUUGUUACAGAAAAGUCAACUGGGAAAAAACGUGGUUUUGCUUUUGUUGAGUUCGAUGACUAUGACUGUGUGGAUAAGAUUGUGUUGAAAAAACAUCAUAUUCUGAAAGGAAGAAAGACUGAAGUAAAGAAAGCUCUGUCCAAACAAGAAUUAGAGACUGCUAGAAUGAGAGGUUCGAGUAGUCGUGGGUCAAGUGGUGGAGGAAGAAAUUCUUCAUAUGGGGGAGGAAGAGUUGGAGGACGAGGAGACUAUGGGGGGUCUUCUUAUGCAAGUGGACAAACCAUGAGAGAUGAUGCAUAUGGUGGACAAGCAUUUGGAGGAGGAUAUGGUAGUCAGGGAAUGGGGAGCUAUGGUGGUGGUGGUUUUGGACAAGAUCCCACCAGUGUUUGGAGUGGUGGAUUUGGAGCUGGAUACAGUGGCAAUUAUGGAGGAGGGGCAAUGAGGAGUGAAAGUAACUUUACACAACGAGGAACAGGACCUUAUGGAGGUGGUUAUGGAUCUGGUGGUUUUAGAAGAUUUUGAGUUCAGAAAACGGCACUGUACAUAAAGGGUACACUACUACCAAGCCUGAAGCAGAUGCUACUUUGAGUUACUAGGCAAGUUGAUAACUGUUAUCAUCUGAGUAAUUGGUAUCUAAUCAUGUACUGAGGUGUUAAUACAAGACUUUCCCUGUUAUUGAGAUCUUGAGGCUACUCUGCCAUCUCAGCUACUUCAGUAACUUGUUGUACUGAAAAAUUUUAUAUUCCAAAUAUUUAAAAUGAUCUUAAUGUAAAAUUGACGUAAGAUUCGUGGGACUUUUUUCCUCCUUGUAAUCUGUUAUAUGAGUAUAUUCUAUGAUUUUCGAUAAAUAGAUGUAUAACUGCAUACUUGCUUUUCAACCUUGGCAAUCAUAAAAUCAUUCAUACGUAAUUUAUAAUAAAAGUUUUAUCAAUGCUUUCAAAACAGAAUAUCUGGAAUUAAAUUUGUAAAUCUUUGAAAGAUUAAAUCAUUUUAAUACACA
rnacentral:misc_RNA from 1 species